GGAUUAGAUACCCUGGUAGUCCACGCCGUAAACGAUGGUUACUCGUUAUUGGCGAUACACAGUCAGUGACUAAGCGAAAGUGAUAAGUAACCCACCUGGGGAGUACGGUCGCAAGAUUGAAACUCAAAGGAAUUGACGGGGGCCCGCACAAGCGGUGGAGCAUGUGGUUUAAUUCGAUGAUACGCGAGGAACCUUACCAGGGCUUAAAUGCAUAUUGACAGGAGUGGAAACACUUUUUUCUUCGGACAAUUUGCAAGGUGCUGCAUGGCUGUCGUCAGCUCGUGCCG
rnacentral:rRNA from 1 species